GGAAAGUCCGGGAACUCGGCGUUCUGAAGGGACUUUAAGGUCAGACAAACAGAAAGCUGGAAAGGAGCCGAAGCUGAUGGCGAAGAACCAGCCGAGUCUGAGCGAACAUGCUUCGUCAGAAUAACGCAUAGAGUGCUCUUGGAAGCCAAAACAGAAGCAGGUUCUCAGUUCACACUUUGUAAUUUACUGUUAGGCGCUCUUGGUCACAGGUGAAAUCUAGUAGGGCGAUCAGCGAUUGAGCGUGGAGAGGAAAGCUUAGCAGCGAGGAUAAAAUGGAGCGCGCUCUCACAGACUGUGGGCAGCUGGCAGGAGGGAAGUGAGGCUUCCCCCAUGCCCUCUCUGUUAUCCUCAAAGCCCGCAAAGUGAUCCUCAUCUGCCGGAAGAGAAGAAGUGCCGCCUCUCCCACCAGCUGCAGAGAAAGCGUGGAUUGAAGGAAAAGUGAUUAUUGCCUGAAAGUGACUGGGAAUCAUGGCUGGAUUUCAAAACACCAACUUUGCCGGUCACACUUGUAGCAGAAGAGCUAAAAUUCACACAUCUAACCGUCUUAUCUGACAGAUCAAAUCGUCACGAUAGACACAAGAAAGGACCCUGCCACGUUUACCCCAAUCCGUUCACUGAAAGGCUGAAACAACUGUCUCAGAAUAAAGGUCAGAGAGUGUGUGGUACUUCCUCGGCAUCAGAGAAAGCCCACUGCACAUCCCACCUUUCACUAAUCCCCCCGUGACUCUGAACUCACCAGUGCACUAGAGACAUGCUCCUUUCUCUUCCAGGAUGGCCUCCUGUGCUUUCAUCUGUCUUAUGUUUGUAGAGCUAAGUGUUUAGACGUGACAGCCGCUGUGGAACUCGCUUGGAGGCCUACAUAUUGCCAUAUGGCCUGAGCUGUGAAGACGCACUCCAGAGGGUCUGUGCUCUAGCUGAGGACACUUUCAAAGUAACCUCAAGUUACUGUAACAAUGGCCUUGGAAUUAGCAUUUCUGUCAUUCCAGGCAUCUUCUCUGCUUACCUCACUAAGGUUUUUCAGACCGUGAGCUGUGGCUCAUUAGACGUAGAGUCAAUCUCAUGACUUGUGACCUGUCUUUUAUAGAUAAAAAAGGAGAAAAUAGAAUAAGAAAAGGAAACAACACUACACACUGCUAACAACUUUCAUUUUGAAAUUUGUGUUUCAAUUAUAGUGUUCAACUACAUGUGUAUUAUACAUGUAUGUCUUUAUAUAUAUAUAAAAUCAGAAAAAUGUUAUUAAGUCUGUGUAUAACUUGAUACAGUCUCUGGUGUGGAAAUAUAAAAUAAAAUGAACACUAACUGUUCCA
rnacentral:lncRNA from 1 species